ensembl:lncRNA
CUAAGGAGUGUCCUAGUACUGUCAGGGAGGCAGGAUGUGGGAAGAGUGACGUGAUGCCGCUGUGGGGGGCAGAUUAGAACAAACCCCAUGGUGCAUGUCUGGCCGUAUCUCCCUCCCCCACUACUGUCAGUGCCACCUGUCACCCCAAAGCCUCAUCUCGCAGCCUAACCCUUUAGGAGAUACCACCACCGUGUACAAAGUUCACCCAAAUUAGAAGCAAGGAAGGUUAUUACGCUUUCUGGCCACAAAACAUACUCUCUGUAACAUUAGCGAACAAAUGCAACUAAGUAAGUUCACAGAGUCUCAGUAUCGUUUACCUCCAGUGCAGCAGACGGUUUCUUCUUGAGCUCCUCGCACUUGCGGAACUUGCAGAUCUGGUGGCCCGUCUUGCGGUUCCGGCAACUGCUGCACUGCUCGCAGUUAAUCCUGCGCCGGCAAGGUGGGCACAUCCCACAGCGUUUCCUUUUCUUCUUCCCGGAGCUAAUGGCGGAGGCCAGCUCGCUUUGCACUGGGUACUCCGUCAAGCCAGCCAUGUGCAGUGCGCUGUCGGCGAGGAAGACUCCGGCAGGCGUCAUGAUGAAAAGCCCUGGGUUGAAGGGGAAGCCGCCACUGCCCACACCGUAUGGGAAGUCUGUGUGACCCCCCACCGUUUCAGCCACUGACGCCCCUUCCAGGUCGACCGUCCCCACCUCGCCCCCGCCCACUCCCAUUCCCCCCGGAAGCAGCAUGUGCUCCAUACCUGCCCGCUUGAGCAGCGCAGCUGCCUGGGCAAAGUGUAACAGGCCAUUCUGUCCCUCCAGCAUCUGCUCCAGGGUUCGGUCCAGCUUGCUCGGCACCAAGGCCGAGAUGGAAGGCUGCUGCGGCUGCUGCUGGGUGGGCUGGGGCUUGGCCGCGUGGCUCUUUGCUUGGCCGUUGUGUUUCAGUCCGUUGGUGGUCUGGGGACAUGCAGCGGUGUACUGCGAGAGGGUACGAGACCUCUUCAGGCUCUUGCUGAGGGGCUCGCUGAUGAUACCACUCCGGUUGCGGCGUUCGAUAAUGGGGCUGUCCUCCCCACAACUGCGCUUGUCCUGGUCCUGGUCCGUGUCCUGGUCCUGGGCCUUGGGUGUCCGGCUGCCCUCCGGCUGUCCGCCAGACAUGGUCCAGCCACGGGGUGUGAGCGUGGGAGGGGGGGCGGGGUUGGGGAGGAGACGGGGCUGGCGAGGGAGGAGCCAGGCAGCGCUCGCAAUCCGCUCAGUGCCCAGGUGAGGGUGGAGCCUCCCCUUAACGGGCAAAACGGCCAGCCAAUGGCAGGCAGACCCCAAUGCCCUUGACUCUAGACUUCAGCCCUCAUCCACAUCUUUCUGCCAGCAACCUGUAGACUAAGACACAAAGACACAAAGAGAGAGAGAGACAGAAAGAUGUUGAAAGCAUUCUGAUUCUUAAAAGAGACCUUGACUGCAAAAAAGCUGUAACUGAGAACAGUGAGCGGCAAUUUGGGCCUUUCUCUCGCAUGACUCCAACAUUUUAUUGAGUGCUGUACCGAUGCCCCUACUGUGCCUGGGAAAUCAAUAUGUACAUUUAUCUUCAAACACUAUGUAGACGGAGUAUAGCAAAAUGAGACGGACGUGA